rnacentral:misc_RNA from 1 species
UCUCCGUUGGCGAACCAGCGGAGGGAUCAUUACUGAGUUUACAACUCCCAAACCCUAUGUGAACCUUACCUUUUGUUGCUUAGGCGGGAUCGCCCUGGCGCUUCGCGGCGUCGAAUCACAGCGCCCGCCGGGGGCCCAAAACUCCUGUUUAUUUAUGUUUCCUCUCCGAGUGGCACAAGCAAAAUAAAUCAAAACUCUCAACAACGGAUCUCUUGGUUCUG